AAAUUCUUUUUACAUGCAUCGAGCCCUGAUUCAUUGAGCUAGUUCGAAUAAACUGCAGUCUGUAUCAUUUGCCACAAUCAAAUUAAAUUCCUAUAAUUUGUUAUUGGGUUUCUGUUGCAAUUACCAGUUCUUGAGCAAUUGGGAAGAAAUAAAUCUUGGGUACGAUUCCAUUCAUUGGAUUUUGGGUUUACUAAGCGUUGAGUUGAUUUGAAAUCGAACAAUAAAGAAAAUUAGAUCGAGAUGAGAAUGUGCUGAGAUGUGUGGUUGUCCUGGUUUUGUUGAGUGGAGGUUGGAUGGUGACAGUGCAGCAGAGAUGGUGAAUGGUUGAGCUGAUAGUUGCAGUUGAAUUGGUGAAAUAAAAUUGAGCUGCACUCCGUCCAAGUACGCUAAUAUUCCUGUAUUUGCAAUUUAUGUACAUCACAGUGUAAUGUUUGUCGAAGGUUCAGUUCCCAGCUAAUAUUUUCCGUCUCUAUAAAUCCCACUUGCCUCCUCCGCAUAUAUGGUUUUUUUUAGUCACUCGAAAAUGUGUUGGACUGCAAUUGCAGUGCUCUGAUCUUUAAAGGAGAACUAGGAGAACUCACCACCAAAUUGGAACACAGAUGAUCCUUGUGGUGAUCAUUGGGAUUGCGUUGGCUGCACUGGUUCAAGGGUUACAUCACUGGGAUUAUCCAACAUGAACCUCAAAGGUACAUUGACUGGUGACAUUAGAGUACUCGCUGAACUGAGAUCAUUGUGAGUUUGAGUUUCCUUUCUUCUUCUUCUUAGUAUUUAAUUGCCAGUGGAGUUCGGAACAUAAGUAGUAAGAUACCAAGGGGAACUGUCCCAACGGAGAUGAUUGUGAAACCUGAAAUAUGAGUUGUCCUAUUAAGAAAAUGAGAUUAUAUAUUCAAUAAAUGUAAAUAUGAAUUGGUUCUGGGCAGGUGCAGUGAUAAUGGUUAGAUUUAUGUCUAGGUUUUGCAGUUGGUUCUGGUAGAACUGAUAUUUGUUGUUGCUGGGUCAGUUAGCUGAUACUAAAGAAGGUGAUUAUGGAACUGACAAUAUUGAAGUCAAGCUGGAAUUGCAGGUUAGGAUUGAAGGGAGUAGAUGAGGUUGUUGUACCUGACUCGCAGGUAUUUGUUCUGCGAAAUGAUACAGUGACUUGAGCUAGUGAAGGACUGAGAUUGUAAUGAUGCUGGUGAUGCAGUGGCUAGGUAAAGAAGAUGGAAGUGAAGAAUUGAGUUGAGAAAAAGUUAGUGUUGCAAGACUGAGAUUGUAACCUAUUGCAUCUACAAAAUUUGUUGCAUAACUUGAUAUGCAGUCUAGAAAACGGUUGCAUAGCACGUUAUGCAUCAACUUUUUCGUCACUAUUGAA